GAUGAACGCUGGCGGCGUGCUUAACACAUGCAAGUCGAACGGGAAACCUUUUAUUGCAUCUUCGUCAGAUUUAGCUGGUUUCUAGUGGCGGACGGGUGAUUAACGCGUGGUUAACCUGCCUUAUACAGGGGGAUAACAACCAGCUAUGAUUGCUAAUGCCGCAUAAGUGCACAGGACCGCAUUUUGCGGUGUGCAAAACUCCGUUGGUAGAUGAUGGACUCGCGUUGGAUCAGCUAGUUGGCAGAGUAACGGCCUACUACGUAGACGAUCCAUAGCCGGGAAGAGAGGGUGAACGCACACAUUGGGGCGGAGAAACGGCCCAGAAUACUAGGGGAGGCAGCAGUGGGGGAUAUAGCAAAAUAGGGGAAAUCAUGAUGCAGCGACGGUGGGUGAAGGAAGAAGUAGCUCGGUAUGUAAAGUUCUAUAAGCAGGGAAGAUAGUGACGGUACCUGAAGAAGAAGCACCGGCUAACUACGUG
rnacentral:rRNA from 1 species